CAGUAGCCGCGGGAAUACGGAGGGUGCAAGCGUUAAUCGGAAUUACUGGGCGUAAAGCGCACGCAGGCGGUCUGACAAGUCAGAUGUGAAAUCCCCGGGCUUAACCUGGGAACUGCAUUUGAAACUGUCAGGCUGGAGUCUUGUAGAGGGGGGUGGAAUUCCAGGUGUAGCGGUGAAAUGCGUAGAGAUCUGGAGGAAUACCGGUGGCGAAGGCGGCCCCCUGGACAAAGACUGACGCUCAGGUGCGAAAGCGUGGGGAGCAAACAGGAUUAGAUACCCCGGUAGUCCCUGUCUUUAUACA
rnacentral:rRNA from 1 species